rnacentral:rRNA from 1 species
UGGGGAAUCUUGCGCAAUGGGCGGAAGCCUGACGCAGCGACGCCGCGUGCGGGACGAAGGCCUUCGGGUCGUAAACCGCUUUCAGCAGGGACGAGGCCCUCACGGUGACGGUACCUGCAGAAGAAGCCCCGGCUAACUACGUGCC